UACGAAGGGGGGCUAGCGUUGCUCGGAAUUACUGGGCGUAAAGCGCACGUAGGCGGUUCGUUAUGUCGGAUGUGAAAGCCCUUGGCUUAACCGAGGAAGUGCAUCCGAAACUGGCGAGCUAGAGUACGAAAGAGGAUCGCGGAAUUCCCGGUGUAGAGGUGAAAUUCGUAGAUAUCGGGAGGAACACCGGUGGCGAAGGCGGCGAUCUGGGUCGAUACUGACGCUGAGGUGCGAAAGCGUGGGGAGCAAACAGG
rnacentral:rRNA from 1 species